rnacentral:rRNA from 1 species
AUUGAACGCUGGCGGCAGGCCUAACACAUGCAAGUCGAACGAGUGGCGGACGGGUGAGUAAUGUCUGGGAAACUGCCCGAUGGAGGGGGAUAACUACUGGAAACGGUAGCUAAUACCGCAUACCCUCAGAUGUGCCCAGAUGGGAUGGGCGUGUUGGUGGGGUAACGGCUCACCUGGGCGACGACCCCUAGCUGGUCUGAGAGGAGGACCAGCCACACUGGAACUUAGACACGGUCCAGACUCCUACGGGAGGCAGCAGUGGGGAAUAUUGCACAAUGGGCGCAAGCCUGAUGCAGCCAUGCCGCGUGUAUGAAGAAGGCCUUAGGGUUGUAAAGUACUUUCAGCGGGGAGGCGUUACCCGCAGAAGAAGCACCGGCUAACUCCGUGCCAGCAGCCGCGGUAAUUC